GCGGUGCAAUAGUCAGCCCCUAAGCCCCCUAGGGGCCCCAUCUCCCCCAUUGCUUCACAGCACAGCCAAGGCCGGUGAGGCUUCGGAAUUCGGCGCAGCUUACAUCAACAUUAUUCCCAUGCAAUUUGCAAUCCCGAUUGCACAGUCCGGGACGUCAUACGUUUCCCUGCACCUCCUGCACUACACUCGGGCCGCCCAGUCUCAUUUCCCUCCUUUCCUCUCCACAGAUCCCCC
rnacentral:lncRNA from 1 species